GAUGAACGCUGGCGGCGUGCCUAAUACAUGCAAGUAGAACGCUGAAGGAAGGAGCUUGCUCUUUCCGGAUGAGUUGCGAACGGGUGAGUAACGCGUAGGUAACCUGCCUGGUAGCGGGGGAUAACUAUUGGAAACGAGAGCUAAUACCGCAUAACAGUAGAUGUUGCAUGACAACUAUUUGAAAGGGGCAAUUGCUCCACUACCAGAUGGACCUGCGUUGUAUUAGCUAGUUGGUGAGGUAACGGCUCACCAAGGCGACGAUACAUAGCCGACCUGAGAGGGUGAUCGGCCACACUGGGACUGAGACACGGCCCAGACUCCUACGGGAGGCAGCAGUAGGGAAUCUUCGGCAAUGGACGGAAGUCUGACCGAGCAACGCCGCGUGAGUGAAGAAGGUUUUCGGAUCGUAAAGCUCUGUUGUAAGAGAAGAACGAGUGUGAGAGUGGAAAGUUCACACUGUGACGGUAUCUUACCAGAAAGGGACGGCUAACUACGUG
rnacentral:rRNA from 1 species